rnacentral:lncRNA from 1 species
GAGCCAAGAUUCAACAGUUGGCACACCUUCCUCCAGGAUGUUCAGAAACCACCCGAGAAGUAAAUUCAGAAGAAAAAUGGGCUUCCUGCAGCCCAUGAAGAGGGAUCUAUUGCAAUUUGGAUAUUAAAGAAGAAUGUUCUUGGUGUUUUAGUUGCUGGAGCAACUGCGGUCUGCCGUCUUCACUUUCCUUGUGGUGAAGUAUUUCCUUUGAAGAAAGCAGGAUUGGCAAGCUCCCCACAUUCACUUGCUCAUUCAUUUUUCAUUCAUUUUCCUCUUAAAAGAGAAAAAAUAAUCCGUAGAGUUCUCAACUGACUUGAGUUGAAACAAUGAACUGAACAAUUGAAAUAAAUUUAUUGUUACUGUACAGUUUUUCUUUUCUUUUUAAAGCCAUGUGGGUAUUCUCAGUAAAAGAGCCCUUUUUUCAGAUUGAUUAUACUGCAAGCAAUGGAGUU